rnacentral:rRNA from 1 species
GAGUUUGAUCGUGGCUCAGCCUGAACGCUGGCGGCGUGGCUAAGACAUGCAAGUCGUACGGAUGUAGCAAUAUAUCAGUGGCGAACGGGUGAGUAAUGAAUCGCUAAUGUACCCCGGACUCUGGGAUAGCUGCCCGAAAGGGCAGGUAAUACCAGAUGAUAUAUCCUUAUCGCAUGAUAGGGAUCUCAAAGGUCCGCCGGUCUGGGAGCAGGCGAUUUUGUAUCAGCUAGUUGGUGAGGUAACGGCUCACCAAGGCGAUGACGCAUAGCCGGACUGAGAGGUUGGCCGGCCACAUUGGGACUGAGACACUGCCCAGACUCCUACGGGGGGCUGCAGUAACGAAUCUUCCGCAAUGCACGAAAGUGUGACGGAGCGACGCCGCGUGUGGGACGAAGCCCUUCGGGGUGUAAACCACUGUCAGGGGAUAGAAAGUUCUGAUCAUCCCCAGUGGAAGGCACGGCUAACUCUGUGCCAGCCGCCGCCGU